rnacentral:lncRNA from 1 species
UUGGAAGCGUGCCGACAAGGUGGAACGUGAUCGUUCUAUCGUUAGGAGUAAUUGCCGGAAAGCCUCGCACGUGGAGGAGCAAUUUCGCUUCUAGUGCAGUACUCUGCACGCCUCGAUCCACAAGUCUUAUCUAAACAUUUUCUUUACCAUAUUUGUUAUUUAAUUUCGUUUCGGGAUUUUCCUCAACCUGUAAUUAAAUUUUCGAAUUGGUUUUUAAAGAAUAUUAUAAUAAAAGAUCAGAAAGUUUUUCCGACACUAAAGUGAAAGAGUUGGUAGAUAUUGGGCAUGACAUUUUAUUUUUU